CAGAGCGUAGCUGAAUAGCAUAGCAUCUCCCUUACACCGAGAAGAUACCCGUGCAACCCGGGUCGCACUGA
rnacentral:tRNA from 1 species